CUCCAUGACGUGACUCCAUGACGUGAUUCCAAUCUCGACGUGACAUCGGGAGUGCGUAAAUUGCAGAAUUAACAGCUACCCCACUUCUUGUGAGUUUUGACUCUGGUCAUUUGUCAUUUGAACCUUUGAAAGAGAGACAGCUAAAGUUAGACAAAGGUCUGAAUCUAUUGGACCGGACAUUAAAUGGACAUUACCUGUGUACUGAUGACAUCUAUGUACUGCCUCAAGCUACACUCUACCCUGGCACCACCCCUCGUCUAAACCAAACGGAACAUUUCCAGCAGGGACACAGAAAAACAACUACAAGGAUUUUGUGAGGCGUUGAGGGAGGGCAGCUGUUGCUCCACAAGACACCAGUGGUCAUCCAUGUUGUCAUUUCGGGCACAGAAGUCAAUGCAGCAGGCAGGACAAAACAAUGUUUUCGCACCUAGGUCUGCCAACAGAUGAGAGAUGGCUGGACACUGACAUCAUUACUUAGGACUGGACCCUGCUGGAGUGGGAUGUGGCAUGAUUGUUGGACUUUCAGAGAUGAGGAUUAAACCCACUGACCUGUUUGCUGAAGUCAUUUCCCUCUUAUCUCCAACUUCUGUUAUGUGGGAUGGGAGGCUGUUGUAUUCAACUGCAAAGUCAAAUGUGUCUGUGAUUCCUUGUUAUUGGAGUUUUGUCAUAGAAGCUUGCUCAGUCAUUGUUUGUGGUUUCUUGAUUUCAUUUCAAAAGGAACUGUUUAAACUCAACAUUUCUUGUGUAAUAUUGUCUAUCAAGGCUGCACUGCUUUGAAUUUGAACUGAUGAAGUAAAUAUGUUCUUGCCUCUGCGGGGCUACACUUAACUAACUGUACCUUUCAGAUUGGUUGAAUGUUCCAACAAAUAUAGGUUGACAUCCUCAUUGAUGCACCAGUGAGGGAGAAAGAUUACUGGUCCUUUUAGUUAUUUAGGACAUAGAUGCGGCAGUUCUUGGGAUUUUGGGGUGAAAGCACAAACCUACUGUAUGUUACACCUUCUUGGUGAAGGGUGUGUAACAACACACCUUACUCAGGUCAAAGAUGGGGUUAGCAGUUAGAACCAUAUCUAGACCAUAGACCAUAUGGCUUAGGCAUUCCUAAUUGGGGGAAAUUCUAGGAAAUAAGCCACACACACACACACACGCA